GUGUCUUUGGCACACUGUGGAAUUGCUCCCACACGUGCAGCCCUGGGGGACCGGGAGGUUUUGGGUCGGGUCCAUCCGCUCCGUGCUCCCCCAGGAGCUGCAGGGCUGAUCCCUGCUAAUCCCACGUUGGCCCAGAGCCCGAGCUCAGCAUCUUCCCACCACCCCAACCCCUCCGAUUGGUGCCUUCAUAAGGGGCAGAACGGAACCUGGGCUCAUCCCGGGGCUGCGGUCGUCACCACCUGAGCACCGUGGGGACGAUGAAGCUCUACGCAGUGCUGCUGCUGGCUGGGCUGGCCUGCUGCCUGGCUGCGGGCUUGCCCGUCAAUGAGACGCCGACCGUGGGGCAAGAUGUGAAGGUGAACAGCAGAGCUGCCGAAGGAGCGCUGGUGGAUUUGGCAGACGUGGUGGAAAGCCUCCUGCGCUCCCUGGGAGACACCUUGGCCGGGGCGGUCAGACUGCUGAUAGGGGG